rnacentral:rRNA from 1 species
UACGUAGGGGGCUAGCGUUGUCCGGAUUUAUUGGGCGUAAAGAGCGUGUAGGCGGCCAGGUAGGUCUGGUGUGAAAACUCGAGGCUUAACCUCGAGAUGUCAUCGGAAACCAUCUGGCUAGAGUCCGGAAGAGGAGAGUGGAAUUCCUGGUGUAGCGGUGAAAUGCGCAGAUAUCAGGAAGAACACCAAUGGCGAAAGCAGCUCUCUGGGACGGUACUGACGCUGGGGUGCGAAAGCAUGGGGAGCGAACAGG